GACGAACGCUGGCGGCGUGCCUAAUACAUGCAAGUAGAACGCUGAAGGAGGAGCUUGCUUCUCUGGAUGAGUUGCGAACGGGUGAGUAACGCGUAGGUAACCUGCCUGGUAGCGGGGGAUAACUAUUGGAAACGAUAGCUAAUACCGCAUAAUAGUAGAUGUUGCAUGACAUUUGCUUAAAAGGUGCAAUUGCACCACUACCAGAUGGACCUGCGUUGUAUUAGCUAGUUGGUGGGGUAACGGCUCACCAAGGCGACGAUACAUAGCCGACCUGAGAGGGUGAUCGGCCACACUGGGACUGAGACACGGCCCAGACUCCUACGGGAGGCAGCAGUAGGGAAUCUUCGGCAAUGGACGGAAGUCGGACCGAGCAACGCCGCGUGAGUGAAGAAGGUUUUCGGAUCGUAAAGCUCUGUUGUAAGAGAAGAACGAGUGUGAGAGUGGAAAGUUCACACUGUGACGGUAUCUUACCAGAAAGGGACGGCUAACUACGUG
rnacentral:rRNA from 1 species